rnacentral:rRNA from 1 species
GACGAACGCUGCGGCGUGCCUAAUACAUGCAAGUCGAGCGGAAGUUGGAGAGCUUGCUCUUCAACUUUAGCGGCGGACGGGUGAGUAACACGUGGGCAACCUGCCCUGCAGAUCGGGAUAACUCCGGGAAACCGGUGCUAAUACCGAAUAGUUUUCGCCACCUCCUGGUGGCGUACGGAAAGACGGUUUCGGCUGUCACUGCAGGAUGGGCCCGCGGCGCAUUAGCUAGUUGGUGGGGUAACGGCCCACCAAGGGGACGAUGCGUAGCCGACCUGAGAGGGUGAUCGGCCACACUGGGACUGAGACACGGCCCAGACUCCUACGGGAGGCAGCAGUAGGGAAUCUUCCGCAAUGGACGAAAGUCUGACGGAGCAACGCCGCGUGAGUGACGAAGGUUUUCGGAUCGUAAAACUCUGUUGUGAGGGAAGAACAAGUACCACUUAACUACUGGUACCUUGACGGUACCUCACCAGAAAGCCACGGCUAACUACGUGCCAGCCGCCGCCGUAAGAC